ACCUCCCUCAGCCAUGUUUUAAAAUUAAGUGAAUGGCCCAGAAUGGCUUCCUGCCGGCAGACAGCACUCAGCACGCUGCACAGCUCUCUGUUAUCGAUUGCUUCUGCCUGCUUUGCUCUGGCCCGCUUGAUGGAUAGGGGGCUUUCCUGGUUGCCGUGUAUAUUAACUUGAUGGAGUGGCCCCCUUUCCCAAAGCCCUCCUCCCAUUAUACCCGAAAGUCCAGGAGGUGUCCUUAGUCUAGGAGAUCAUGGAAGCCAGUCCAUCCUUAACUACCAGAAGGCAUGCCCAGAGCCAGGCUAUUGGAUCCAGCUUUAACUUUGGCCACAUCAGGUUGUCACGAAAAAUCCUUGCAGGGCUGCUACUGCUUCAUACUUCAGAUUAAGAAGGAAAUGUGUUUCGAACUCCAUCAUGGACUAUAGAGACCCUAAAUAACAGAGAAAAGGAAGAGCCUCCCCAUGAACCUAGGACUUACCAGUUCUGGACCAGGUAUCUUCCUGUCUCCUCCUCCUGAGUGUUAGGACUAUAGACUGACUCUGCAAUGUGAACAGCAUCUGCCUCCAUGACUCCCCUGCCUCAGUGAACUCCAGCCUCAAAUUGUGAACCCAAAUAAACCCUUCCUUCCUUAAGUUGCCUUUGUCAGGGUUUUGUUGCAGCAGUAAAAAGUGUCGCUAAUUGUGGUAGUAUUGACUUACAACAAAGUUAUCAGAGAAACAUCUAGCAUCAAAAAGAAUGACUAAGCAGGAGAGUUACAAAGUAAUGAUUAAACACACAAAUAAAGAACACACAAAAGACUCAUCUCUCCUGCAGACAAUUGGAAAUAAUUUGUGUAAUAGUCUAAGAUGCUAGAGGAAGACUUGCCUAGAGGCUAGGAGGGAGUGUGUAGUGUGGCUUGUGGCUGGAGAAGCUAAGUGCAAAGCAAGCUAUUGAUUGCUUAUCUUGUAAAAGAAAGCAGAAGACACAGGAACUGGUGGGAUGUGGUGUGCGUGCGUGCGUGUGUGUGUGUGUGUGUGUGUGUGUGUGUGUGUGUGUGUGUGAGUGAGUGUGUGUGCUGUGAAAUGCCUUCCUGGACAUGACAUGCCUAUUGCAGGUUUCAGGGAUGAAGUCCGACGAGCAGGAUUGCUACUGGGGAAACAGGGACACCAGUGUCCACAGCUAGUGCACACUGCAGAAGGCUCCAGGACAGGACACAAGGGGUUGGUGCUUUCCCUCUGUGGGCCCCCCUCCCCAAAAUCUCAUCUUACUGACUGUGAGAUGAAUAUCAAAAAAAUCCCAGUGAAGGAGGCUCUGAGAAAUCUGUGCUUUGGACUCCUGAAGACUGCCAUCUUAAUCGCAAGUACAGUGUGAGGGGAUGUGACUAGUUAGUACAGUGUGAGGGGGUGUGACUAGUUAGUACAGUGUGAGGGGUGUGACUAGUUAGUACAGUGUGAGGGGGUGUGACUAGUUAGUACAGUGUGAGGGGAUGUGACUAGUUAGUCUAUAUAAGGAAGUCCUGUGUCCUGUGGAUGGGAUCCUGGAGCAGAAGAAAAGGCAAUAGGAAACAAGGAGAUAGCAUGGCACAUGAGUUGUGCUUAGGACUAUUGUAUCCAAGCUGGGUUGUCACUGUUUAAUAACAUUGUGUCGACCUUCUAGAUAUCAGACCUUAUUAAUGAUAGAAAUAGACCUUGUGUUUUGGGAAUUCUCUGUGCUAUCUUUUUCUUUUCUUUUCUUUCUUUUUUUUUUUUUAUUUUUUGUGUAUCCAAAUCAUUUCCAAAAUUGAGACUUUGCCAAAAUGUUUUCUAAAGGGUGAGCACAUUAUCACUGUGCUAUUUUAAUUGCCCCAAAGGAUAAGCUCUACAUUAAAAAAAAACCCAAAACAAAAACAAAAAAACAAACAGACUUCACAUUUCAUAGAUUUCCACUGCCCUUAGCCUUGGUCAGAGAAAUUUCUUGUCUCUCUCUCUCUCUCUCUCUCUCUCUCUCUCUCUCUCUCUCUCUCUCUCUCUUUCUCUCUCUCUCUCUUUGUAGCAGGUGAUGGUUAGCACGGAGACUCAUUAGCUGGUCAAAGUACUGAAAAUAAGAUGCUUUUGAGUGCUCGGCUCUAAUUGGGACAUCAAUAUCAUGCUCCCUUCCGAAGAGCCAUGCUUGUAAGAGAGGAUAGAAAAAAGGCAGGAGUCAGAGGAUGGGCAGGAGGGAGGUGCUCUUCUGGACAAGGCGUGAUUAUUGCAUGCAUUAAGCCAUGGCAGCUGUGUUUAGUGGUGGACGAUCAAGCUAGGCGACAUACCAGCCUGGGUGAGGAAGGAGUGCACGAGGUCCUCCUGCAAGCUGGGAAUUAGUAGCUGCUGCAGGGAGGGUAGUCAUUCUCCUUGAGUUGGUAGAGCCACGAUAAGUUGCCCACAAUCCAGUAAACAAACCUGUAACCAUCCAUGGUGCCAACCCUGAAUAAUCUCAGCAGGUCAUCAAAAAAACCACAGAGUAAGAAAGGGAUGUGUCAGGAGAAAAAAAUAGGGCCCAGAAAGAGGAAGAGAAUAAGGGUCAAUUCUGAUCAAAAGAGAUUAUCUACCUGUGUGAAAUUUGCAGAGAAUAAAUAAAAGUAUUAAAAUGAAAAUAUUAUACAGACAAACAUUUUUUUCCCAUCAAUAGGAAAGAUUUUAAAAUAACUGUGCUCCCAUGAUUCUUUCAUUCACGUGGACCUGUAUUGACUUGGGUGUUGAUUGUCCCUCUUGCUAUUCAGAUGUGUGUGUGUGUGUGUGUGUGUGUUACUGACCAUUUAACCCGGGCCCCUUUCAUUUCUAGGUAAGUGCUUUGUAUAUGUGUACGUGGAAAGCCAGGGGACAGCUGUGGCCUGCUUCCUCGGGAACUCUUCAGCUUUCUUCUUAGACAGGGCCAUUACGGGGACCUGAGCCUUCCAAUGAGCAUAGACCAGUUGGCCCGGAAGCCCAAGGAGGUCCAUCUGCCCCCACCUCCCCAACAUGGUCAUCACAAGCAGGUGCCAUCACACUAGGAUUACAUGGGAUCUUGGAGUUGAACUCGUCCUCAGGCUUCGCAGCGAGAACUUCACCAGCCAAGUGCUCUAUGGAACUCCUAGGCUCACUUUUUUUUUUUCUGGAAAACUCUAAAGUUCAGCAAUAUAGUUGUGCUCUAUUGAGUAACUCUCACUAUUACAUACAACACAAUGGUAAACAUCUCUGUGGGCUUUUCCCCUUCUACAGAGUUGCUUCUCUGACUACCACCUUUCAAAAAGAGUUUUCAUUAGUUCUUUUUAAAGUUAUUUGCAUUUGCAUGUGCUUGCAGGAGUUUGAUGCACCACGUGUGUGCAAUAUCCACAGGGGCCAGGUGAAGGUGUCAGGUUCCUUGGAACUGGAAUUCCAGGUGGCUGUGAGGCACAGGGUGUGGUUCCUUGGGACUGAACCUGGGUGGUUUGCAAGAGCAGUAAGGACUCUUAACCACCGGAUCAUCUCUCCAGCAUUCAGACCACUGCCUGUAAGUUCCACUUCAGCGUCAAACAGUUCGUGCCUUAAAACACACGAAUAAGAUUUAAAAUAUACAAUGACUCCCUGGCAAAGGCAGAUGAAAAACAGGAAGUUACAGACAAGUGCGGGCAUCUCCAGGCUGGAUACUCUGUGUGUGUGUGUGUGUGUGUGUGUGUGUGUGUGUGUGUGUGUGUGUCUGCCAUAGCUCUCAUGUCACUCUGUCAAAUAUUUAACAAUGGAUUUCUAGCUUCGUUGUGACAGUGUGUCUCCAUUACCUACUGGGUGAGCCCAUCGCACUUCUUCCAAAGCAUUUUAAAUGGAUGCCGGAAACUGAACUCAAGUCCUCUGGAAGAGUAGUCAGGACUCUUAACCACUGUAUAUCUCUCCAGGCUUCAUAUUUGUAUUUUAUUUCUUAGAUGAUGUUUGGGUCAUGAGUGGACAAGGGAUGGUAUUGAUUUUUAUUGUUUUAAAACUUAAUGUAGGGCCAUAAGAUGACUCAGCAUAUAAAGGCAGGUGUUGCCAAACUUGACAACCUGAAUUCAUUCCCUGCAAGUCAGGUGGUAGAAGGAGAGAUUUGACUCUUUUGAGUUGUACUCUGAUCUCCAUAUAUGUGCAGUGUCAUGUGUAUAGGCCAUACCCAAAAUGUAAGUAUGAAAAAUAAUCUCACAUUAAGACUAUAUAAUUUUUUUUUGCAACAUGGUGUCUUUGCUUUGGGGCAUUGUAUAGUGUACAUGAGCUUCUUCUAAGGAUGGCUGUGUGUGAAUAUACCAAUGACUCUGCAAGCAUCCAUUAAGUGUACUUCAUACUGUCUCCUCAUUGGUUGGGAUGUGUGCUUCUUUGCAUUUAUGCUAUGAUCCCCAAUUGCUCUUUGGCCACAGCUAUGGGAUGUGCUGUAGUAAACACUAGGGUCGUUUCUAAUUCAUUAUGGCAGGCGUCUUCAUAGGAAGAGGUGGUGGGACACAGAAAUAGAAGGAAGGCCUGCAAGGACACCAACAUCCAUCCACCAAGGAAAUGGCUUCAGGAGAAAGCAGCCCCGAGAGCCCUGGUCACGCCUGUCUGUGGUGCCUGCAGUCGCUGUGGUCUAAGCCUCCUUAGCUGGGAUCUUUGCUAUGAUAGCUGUGCAAUGCAACUGUCCAACUAGUCCUCAAGGUCCUGGCCACUCAGCCGAGAGCAGGAAUCACUGUGGAAGAUGCUCACUAUAUUCCAAAGCUCCACAGAACUCAUUUCCCAGCCUGGAAGCCAUAGCUCAGCUUAGGAAAAACUGGCUUAUUUGUAGAACAAAGCAGUAUGGGCCAUGGAGGAGAGAGACACUACCUGGGUCAAAUAGCUUGAGCUCAGGUCUGCCUGUGCCUCCUGCAGACCCUUCCUCUUGUGGUGAUCCCAUGUGUUUGCAGAACCCCCAGCUAGGCACAGUGCAUGGAUGCAGCCCUCCUGGAAGAUUGCAUCAGAGUUCAGGUGAUGACCAUGUUCCUGUGACAAGCUCCCAGGGACCAUAAUAGAAGCCCAGACAGAUGUGCGAGAUGUACCUCUUGUUUCUCUCCUUUUUUGUUCUUAAGCAAGGGAC